rnacentral:lncRNA from 1 species
GUUCGUAUAAAAUUUGCAAUGAAAAAACUUAAUGUUUGCACAGAAAUUCACUUUAUGUAAUACCUUUUUUAUACAAUUAUAAAUCAAAAACCUAUAUAUUUAUGUAUGACGUAUAGCUGUAAUUGAAAAAUAAUUUACAGGGCACCUGCAAUGAUCAAAGCAUAUCCUUCAAAAUCAAUAACAGUUACGAUCUGUCGCUUGUUGACAUUUGUUGUCCCUAUUACUAUUGGUAACUGGGUUAUCUAUUAUUUGUACAAACAUCAGUAAAUAUCGAAUGCUGCUAGCCGGACAUGUCUUGACACGAGGCUUAGAAAUCAAAAUGCCGGGUUAAUCACAGUACAUGAAGAGGCUUAUUUGUAUUAAGUAUAGGCUAGUAUCUUAUCAAGGAGAUGUCAAGAUAUUAAAAGUAUAAUCAUCCUUUAUAUGAGGUUUCAAUUAUUUAUAACAUCGAAGGCUAUAAACCCAAAGCAGUGUAGUAGAGUUGUGUCCAUUAUUGUAUUAAAACUCUAGGCGCAUGCCAUAUUAAACUGCAAAGCUUAACUUAAUGCUUUUGGUUUUUUUUUAUUGCAAACGUUAUUGUUUUUUUUAAUAAAUUGAUAGAGUUGGGUUGUUUAAUUUCAUAUUGCUAUACAUUAUUUUAACGAGCAUAUCAAAUUGUUAGUUUAAUUGCCAUGUGGUGCAUUUAUGCUAAGACAUAUGCUAUAGCAUAAGACGUGAGCUAAGACAUGUGUUGCAUUUAUGCGUUGUUUCUGUUGUAUGGAACAUUAGGAACAGUAUGUCUCUUAUCACUGGGACAUAUAACUCUUUACGUAUGCAUGAACUUAUUAAUCCUUGGCUUUCAAAUUUUGGGAUUAGAAUGUUCCUUAUAAUGGUAUACCCGAAAAGGAGCUUCGAACGCACCGAAUUUAUUUAGUUUUAUUUUCUUUGCAAAUCUUGCCAUUUUCAGUUUCAGUCAUGUAUAUAAUAUAUAAAAACAUGUGUUUAUCUCAAGUUAUAUCUUGCAAGGCGUUUGUUUGUUUGUCUUAU